rnacentral:rRNA from 1 species
CUCCAGACUCCUACGGGAGGCAGCAGUGGGGGAUAUUGCACAAUGGGGGGAACCCUGAUGCAGCGACGCCGCGUGGGUGAAGGAGUGCUUCGGCAUGUAAAGCCCUAUCAGCAGGGAAGAAAGAAAUGACGGUACCUGACUAAGAAGCCCCGGCUAACUACGUGCCAGCAGCCGCGGUAAUACGUAGGGGGCAAGCGUUAUCCGGAUUUACUGGGUGUAAAGGGAGCGUAGACGGCAGUGCAAGUCUGAAGUGAAAGGCGGGGGCCCAACCCCCGGACUGCUUUGGAAACUGUGCUGCUGGAGUGCAGGAGAGGCAAGUGGAAUUCCUAGUGUAGCGGUGAAAUGCGUAGAUAUUAGGAGGAACACCAGUGGCGAAGGCGGCUUACUGGACGAUUACUGACGCUGAGGCUCGAAAGCGUGGGGAGCAAACAGGAUUAGAUACCCCCGUAU